rnacentral:lncRNA from 10 species
CACCACCACAAGCCCACAGGAAGUACUGCCAGGCUACUACUGAUGUUCAGACAGUUUCGCUCUUCUUGCCCAGGCCGGAGUGCAAUGGUGCGUUCUCGGCUCACCACAACCUCCAACUCCCGGGUUCAAGCGUUUCUCCUGCCUCAGCCUCCUGAGUAGCUGGGAUUACAGGCAUGCACCACCACACCCGGCUAAUUCUGUAUUUUUAGUAGAGAUGGGGUUUCUCUAUGUUGGUCAGGCUGGUCUCAAACUCCCGACCUCAGGUGAUCCACCUGCCUCAGCCUUCCAAAGUGCUGGGAUUACAGGCGUGAGCCCCCGUGCCCGGCCGGUGCUUGAGAUAUUUUGCAGAACCUGCACUUGAUGGAUCAGCUGGCACCACUCAGAUCAAUAAACUGGCUCAUCUGAUCUUGUGGCCCCCAGACCCAAGAACUGACUCAGCCCAAGAAGACAGCUCCAACUCCCAUGAUUUCAUCUCUGACCAAUCAGCAGCACUCCUGGCUCACUGGCUUCCCCCUACCCACCAAGUUAUCUUUAAAAACUCUGCUCCCCCAAUGCUCCGGGAGACUGAUUUGAGUAAUAAUAAAACUCCAGGCCGGGCGCGGUGCCUCAUGCUUGUAAUCCUAGCACUUUGGGAUGCCAAGGUGGGCGGAUCACCUGAGGUCAUGGUUUCGAGACCAGCCUGGCCAACAUGGCAAAACCCUGUCUCUACUAAAAAUACAAAAAUUAGUUGGGAGUGGUGGUGCAUGCCUG